GAUGAAGAACGUAGCGAAAUGCGAUACUUGGUGUGAAUUGCAGAAUCCCGUGAACCAUCGAGUCUUUGAACGCAAGUUGCGCCCGAAGCCAUUAGGCCGAGGGCACGCCCGCCUGGGCGUCACACGUCGUUGCCCCCCCAUCUACUCCUUCGGGAUUGCGGGGGGCGGAUGAUGGCCUCCCGUGCGCCUCGUCGCGCGGUUGGCAUAAAUGCCAAGUCCUCGGCGACGCACGCCACGACAAUCGGUGGUUGCGAAACCUCGGUUGCCCGUCGUGUGCGGUCGUCGCGCAUCGAGGGCUCGAAAAAAUUGUCGGGCUCCGGCUCGGCUUUCAACGCGACCCCAGGUCAGGCGGGGUUACCCGCUGAAUUUAAGCAUAUCAAUAAGCGGAGGA
rnacentral:misc_RNA from 1 species